UACGGAGGGUGCAAGCGUUAUCCGGAUUUGCUGGGUUUAAAGGGUGCGCAGGCGGAUAUGUAAGUCAGUGGUGAAAUCUCCGGGCUUAACCCGGAAACUGCCGUUGAUACUAUAUAUCUUGAAUGCUGUGGAGGUAAGCAGAAUAUGUCAUGUAGCGGUGAAAUGCUUAGAGAUGACAUAGAAUACCUAUUGCGAAGGCAGCUUACUACGCAGAUAUUGACGCUCAUGCACGAAAGCGUGGGGAUCAAACAGG
rnacentral:rRNA from 1 species